UACGUAGGGUGCGAGCGUUGUCCGGAAUUAUUGGGCGUAAAGAGCUCGUAGGCGGUGUGUCACGUCGGCCGUGAAAACCUGCAGCUUAACUGUGGGCGUGCGGUCGAUACGGGCAUCACUGGAGUUCGGCAGGGGAGACUGGAAUUCCUGGUGUAGACGGUGAAAUGCGCAGAUAUCAGGAGGAACACCGGUGGCGAAGGCGGGUCUCUGGGCCGGAUACUGACGCUGGAGGAGCGAAAGCCGUGGGGAGCAAACAGG
rnacentral:rRNA from 1 species